AUUGAACGCUGGCGGCAGGCCUAACACAUGCAAGUCGAGCGUGCGGCGGACGGGUGAGGAAUGUAUGGGGACCGCCCGAGAGAGGGGGAUAACAACGGGAAAAGACGGCUAAUAACGCAGACAGGCCGAUAACCAAUAUGGGAUUAGCUAGUAGGUAAGGUAAUGGCUUACCUGGGCGACGAUCCCUAGCUGGUCUGAGAGAAUGAUCAGCCACACUGGGACUGAGACACGGCCCAGACUCCUACGGAGGCAGCAGUGGGGAAUAUUGCACAAUGGGCGCAAGCCUGAUGCAGCCAUGCCGCGUGUAUGAAGAAGUCCCUAGGGUUGUAAAGUCCUUUCAGUCGGGAGGCGUUACCGACAGAGGAAGCACCGGCUAACUCCGUGCCAGCAGCCGCGGUAAUUC
rnacentral:rRNA from 1 species